GGAGAAGUACCCAAGUGGCUGAAGGGGCUCCCCUGCUAAGGGAGUAGGCGGCUAACUGCCGCGCGAGGGUUCAAAUCCCUCCUUCUCCG
rnacentral:tRNA from 1 species